rnacentral:rRNA from 1 species
GACGAACGCUGGCGGCGUGCUUAACACAUGCAAGUCGAACGCUGAAGCACCAGCUUGCUGGUGUGGAUGAGUGGCGAACGGGUGAGUAAUACGUGAGUAACCUGCCCUUGACUAUGGGAUAAGACCGGGAAACUGGGUCUAAUACUGGAUGCUACAUGUCACCGCAUGGUGGUGUGUGGAAAGGGUUUACUGGUCUUGGAUGGGCUCACGGUUUAUCAGCUUGUUGGUGAGGUAAUGGCUCACCAAGGCGACGACGGGUAGCCCGCCUGAGAGGGUGACCGGCCACACUAAUACUGAGACACGUCCCAGACUCCUACCGGGACCAGCAGUGAGGAAUAUUGCACAAUGGUCGAAAGCCUGAUGCAGCGACUCCACGUGAGGGAAGACGGCCUUCGGGUUGUAAACCUCUUUCAGCAGGGAAGAAGCCACAAAUCACGGUACCUGCAGAAGAAGCGCCGGCUAACUACGU